rnacentral:lncRNA from 1 species
AUGAUUGGCUUCUGAUGUCGACACGUGUCGCGUUGGAAUUGGCCUCCUGGUUGGACGGAAACUCUUCUAGGUCCUUGACGGUAUAACGUUGACCGGUGCUUAGUAGUUUCGGGAUUGGUCAAGUAUGGUACAAACAAUAGUUAUGAUUUAUUUUAUAUAAAAAGUUGAAAUUGUGAGUAUAAUAUUGUUAUUUUUUUUAAGUACAUCGAUAUUUUUACACUAAGUAUAACAUUGUUAACAUACACACACAAUCUAAUCUAGGUCUUGUCCUUAUAUUAAAGGCAUGUUGGCUUAACAAAAAUGAAAAAAAAUGAAGGAAUCAAAGAAUUUAAAAAUAAGGAAAAAAGGAAAGAAGAUUGGAUUAACUACUCUCCUCUAGUUGAUUUGCUUCCUUGUUUUUAGGUAUUUGAUUACGGAUUUCAAACGAAAACUUAAGAUAAAGUUCUCUCGUAUCUUGAUUCUGAUACUCACAUUUUCGUGACGCAGUAACUCAAUAAUCAAAAUAAUUCUAAUUUCGAUUCCUUAUAAGUAAGUAGUGACACACCCUGACCUGGAAUUUUCACGCUUACACCCGAGUUCAAGACAUGUUAACCAACACCUAGAAGACAACGAAGCCAUAAAACAUAGUUGAUGUGGAAAAUGUGAACAAAUUAAAACUUGAAAUGAAUAAAAAAAAGUGUGCAAUGUGAGCAUAUUGGAACCCCUUAUUACAGAACCACACUGUCAGAGCAUGGUGUAGUAAAGUAAAAGCAUUCAUAUCCUCGAUAUGAUGGGUAAUUUAAAUCAUUUAAAGUAAUUAUAGUAUAGUUUGUGGGGAUG